rnacentral:rRNA from 1 species
GUGCCCUUGAGGCGUGGCUUCCGGAGCUAACGCGUUAAGUCGACCGCCUGGGGAGUACGGCCGCAAGGUUAAAACUCAAAUGAAUUGACGGGGGCCCGCACAAGCGGUGGAGCAUGUGGUUUAAUUCGAUGCAACGCGAAGAACCUUACCUGGUCUUGACAUCCACGGAAGUUUUCAGAGAUGAGAAUGUGCCUUCGGGAACCGUGAGACAGGUGCUGCAUGGCUGUCGUCAGCUCGUGUUGUGAAAUGUUGGGUUAAGUCCCGCAACGAGCGCAACCCUUAUCCUUUGUUGCCAGCGGUCCGGCCGGGAACUCAAAGGAGACUGCCAGUGAUAAACUGGAGGAAGGUGGGGAUGACGUCAAGUCAUCAUGGCCCUUACGACCAGGGCUACACACGUGCUACAAUGGCGCAUACAAAGAGAAGCGACCUCGCGAGAGCAAGCGGACCUCAUAAAGUGCGUCGUAGUCCGGAUUGGAGUCUGCAACUCGACUCCAUGAAGUCGGAAUCGCUAGUAAUCGUGGAUCAGAAUGCCACGGUGAAUACGUUCCCGGGCCUUGUACACACCGCCCGUCACACCAUGGGAGUGGGUUGCAAAAGAAGUAGGUAGCUUAACCUUCGGGAGGGCGCUUACCACUUUGUGAUUCAUGACUGGGGUGAAGUCGUAACAAGGUAACCGUAGGGGAACCUGCGGUUGGAUCACCUCCUUA